GAAACCCGGGCUAAUACCGCAUGAGCCUGGAGUUGUCGUUAACUUCAGGGAAAGCAUUUAUGUACCGAAGGAGGAGCCCGCGUCCGAUUAGCUAGUUGGUGAGGUAAGAGCUCACCAAGGCGACGAUCGGUAGCCGGUCUGAGAGGACGGACGGUCACACUGGGACUGAGACACGGCCCAGACUCCUACGGGAGGCAGCAGUGGGGAAUUUUGGGCAAUGGGCGAAAGCCUGACCCAGCAACGCCGCGUGGAGGAUGAAGGUUUUCGGAUCGUAAACUCCUGUCUAGAGGGACGAAGAAAGUGACGGUACCUCUGGAGGAAGCCCCGGCUAACUCCGUGCCAGCAGCCGCGGUAAUACGGGGGGGGCGAGCGUUGUUCGGAAUUACUGGGCGUAAAGGGCGCGUAGGCGGUUUCGGAAGUCAUGGGUGAAAGUCCUCGGCUCAACCGAGGGAUUGCCUGUGAAACCACGGGACUGGAGUGCUGGAGAGGGAAGUGGAAUUCCCAGUGUAGCGGUGAAAUGCGUAGAUAUUGGGAGGAACACCUGUGGCGAAGGCGGCUUCCUGGACAGACACUGACGCUGAGGC
rnacentral:rRNA from 1 species